UUUAAGGGGAAAUCGCGAAUGCCCCGUGAGGCGUCAGCCGAAAAUUCGCAUCCUUGUAACCCUUUGUUUGAAAGGAAGGAUGCGCUAUG
rfam:Rhodobacteraceae bacterium HTCC2150 1101159006518, whole genome shotgun sequence.